rnacentral:ncRNA from 1 species
AAGGAAAGAUCCUAGACGUCCAAGGGAACGGGCUUGAAAUGAUUAGCGGGGAAAAAAGACCCUUUUGAGCUUGACUCUAAUCUGGCCGUGUAAGGACCCAUAAGAGGUGUAGAAUAAGUGGCCGAUAUUAGACUUCGGUUUGGUAUCGCCAAUGAAGUACCACUACUCUUAUGUUUUCUUACUUACUUGAUUGAAUGGAACGUGUAUCAUUUCCUAGCCAUUAUUCGGAUAUAUUUAUUAUAUCUUAUGGUAUUGGGUUUUGAUGCAAGCUUCUUGAUCAAAGUAUCACGAGUUUGUUAUAUAAUCUCAAACAAAUUCUUUAAUGAGAGAUGCAUUUACUGUAUUAUUGAUUUGAAAAUUUGGUAUAACUCCAAUUACUCAGGUAUGAUCAAAUUCAAGGACAUUGCCAGGUAGGGAGUUUGACUGGGGCGGUACAUCUCUCAAAUAAUAACGGAGGUGUCCCAAGGCCAGCUCAGUGCGGACAGAAACCACACAUAGAGCAAAAGGGCAAAUGCUGACUUGAUCUCGGUGUUCAGUACACACAGGGACAGCAAAAGCUCGGCCUAUCGAUCCUUUUGGUUUAAAAAG